AACGAACGCUGGCGGCAUGCCUAACACAUGCAAGUCGAACGAGAUCCUUCGGGGUCUAGUGGCGCACGGGUGCGUAACGCGUGGGAAUCUGCCCUUAGGUUCGGAAUAACAGUUAGAAAUGACUGCUAAUACCGGAUGAUGACGUUAAGUCCAAAGAUUUAUCGCCUGAGGAUGAGCCCGCGUAGGAUUAUCUAGUUGGUGUGGUAAAGGCGCACCAAGGCGACGAUCCUUAGCUGGUCUGAGAGGAUGAUCAGCCACACUGGGACUGAGACACGGCCCAGACUCCUACGGGAGGCAGCAGUGGGGAAUAUUGGACAAUGGGCGCAAGCCUGAUCCAGCAAUGCCGCGUGAGUGAUGAAGGCCUUAGGGUUGUAAAGCUCUUUUACCCGGGAUGAUAAUGACAGUACCGGGAGAAUAAGCCCCGGCUAACUCCGUG
rnacentral:rRNA from 1 species